GACGAACGCUGGCGGCGUGCUUAACACAUGCAAGUCGAACGAAGAGCGAUGGAAGCUUGCUUCUAUCAAUCUUAGUGGCGAACGGUUGAGUAACGCGUAAUCAACCUGCCCUUCAGAGGGGGACAACAGUUGGAAACGACUGCUAAUACCGCAUACGAUCUAAUCUCGGCAUCGAGGAUAGAUGAAAGGUGGCCCCUACAUGUAAGCUAUCACUGAAGGAGGGGAUUGCGUCUGAUUAGCUAGUUGGAGGGGUAACGGCCAACCAAGGCGAUGAUCAGUAGCCGGUCUGAGAGGAUGAACGGCCAAAUUGGGACUGAGACACGGCCCAGACUCCUACGGGAGGCAGCAGUGGGGAAUCUUCCGCAAUGGACGAAAGUCUGACGGAGCAACGCCGCGGGAGUAAUGACGGCCUUCGGGUGGUAAAGCUCUGUUAAUCGGGACGAAAGGCCUUCUUGCGAAUAGUGAGAAGGAGUGACGGGACCGGAAUAGAAAGCCACGGCUAACUACG
rnacentral:rRNA from 1 species